UGAGGAAUAUUGGACAAUGGAUGGAAAUCUGAUCCAGCCAUGCCGCGUGCAGGAAGACGGCCCUAUGGGUUGUAAACUGCCUUUGUAUGGGAGCAAUAAGGACUACGUGUAGUUUGAUGAGAGCACCAUACGAAUAAGCAUCGGCUAACUCCGUGCCAGCAGCCGCGGUAAUACGGCGGAUGCGAGCGUUAUCCGGAUUUAUUGGGUUUAAAGGGUGCGUAGGCGGCGAUAUAAGUCAGUGGUGAAAUAUUUCGGCUUAACCGAGAGACUGCCAUUGAUACUUUGUUGCUAGAAUAUGGUUGCUGUGAGUGGAAUGUGUGUUGUAGCGGUGAAAUGCUUAGAUAUCACACAGAAUCUCCAUUACGAAGGCAGCUCACAAAGCCAUUAUUGACGCUGAGGCACGAAAGUGUGGGGAUCAAACA
rnacentral:rRNA from 1 species